rnacentral:rRNA from 1 species
AGAGUUUGAUCCUGGCUCAGGAUGAACGCUAGCUACAGGCUCAACACAUGCAAGUCGAGGGGCAGCAUGGUCUUAGCUUGCUAAGGCCGAUGGCGACCGGCGCACGGGUGAGUAACACGUAUCCAACCUGCCGUCUACUCUUGGACAGCCUUCUGAAAGGAAGAUUAAUACAAGAUGGCAUCAUGAGUCCGCAUGUUCACAUGAUUAAAGGUAUUCCGGUAGACGAUGGGGAUGCGUUCCAUUAGAUAGUAGGCGGGGUAACGGCCCACCUAGUCUUCGAUGGAUAGGGGUUCUGAGAGGAAGGUCCCCCACAUUGGAACUGAGACACGGUCCAAACUCCUACGGGAGGCAGCAGUGAGGAAUAUUGGUCAAUGGGCGAGAGCCUGAACCAGCCAAGUAGCGUGAAGGAUGACUGCCCUAUGGGUUGUAAACUUCUUUUAUAAAGGAAUAAAGUCGGGUAUGGAUACCCGUUUGCAUGUACUUUAUGAAUAAGGAUCGGCUAACUCCGUGCCAGCAGCCGCGGUAAUACGGAGGAUCCGAGCGUUAUCCGGAUUUAUUGGGUUUAAAGGGAGCGUAGAUGGAUGUUUAAGUCAGUUGUGAAAGUUUGCGGCUCAACCGUAAAAUUGCAGUUGAUACUGGAUAUCUUGAGUGCAGUUGAGGCAGGCGGAAUUCGUGGUGUAGCGGUGAAAUGCUUAGAUAUCACGAAGAACUCCAAUUGCGAAGGCAGCCUGCUAAGCUGCAACUGACAUUGAGGCUCGAAAGUGUGGGUAUCAAACAGGAUUAGAUACCCUGGUAGUCCACACGGUAAACGAUGAAUACUCGCUGUUUGCGAUAUACUGCAAGCGGCCAAGCGAAAGCGUUAAGUAUUCCACCUGGGGAGUACGCCGGCAACGGUGAAACUCAAAGGAAUUGACGGGGGCCCGCACAAGCGGAGGAACAUGUGGUUUAAUUCGAUGAUACGCGAGGAACCUUACCCGGGCUUAAAUUGCAGAUGAAUUACGGUGAAAGCCGUAAGCCGCAAGGCAUCUGUGAAGGUGCUGCAUGGUUGUCGUCAGCUCGUGCCGUGAGGUGUCGGCUUAAGUGCCAUAACGAGCGCAACCCUUGUUGUCAGUUACUAACAGGUUCUGCUGAGGACUCUGACAAGACUGCCAUCGUAAGAUGUGAGGAAGGUGGGGAUGACGUCAAAUCAGCACGGCCCUUACGUCCGGGGCUACACACGUGUUACAAUGGGGGGUACAGAGGGCCGCUACCACGCGAGUGGAUGCCAAUCCCAAAAACCUCUCUCAGUUCGGACUGGAGUCUGCAACCCGACUCCACGAAGCUGGAUUCGCUAGUAAUCGCGCAUCAGCCACGGCGCGGUGAAUACGUUCCCGGGCCUUGUGCACACCGCCCGUCAAGCCAUGGGAGCCGGGGGUACCUGAAGUGCGUAACCGCGAGGAGCGCCCUAGGGUAAAACUGGUGACUGGGGCUAAGUCGUAACAAGGUAGCC